UGCUACCGAAGGCGAAUCAUCGCGCCUGGCAACGCUUCCACGGUGACAACCAACGUCAUGAAUACGUCACAUCAAACAACUUGUCAUAACAACAAACCCUAUACUCAACGUGGUUGUGAAUUUUGAAGGUUUUAAGAUAUCCAAAUCAAUUUCGUUACGUUAAAGGUAUUAUUUAAAAGGCAUGCUUAUGAUAAACUUGUUGCUAAAAGUAUCUUUAAAUCUACCAGCCCUCCGUGAAUUUGUGAACUCAGGUUUAAGCUACGGGAAUUUCUCGCUACAGUACACUGUGUGUUUGUUACCCAAGGAAUAGUUCUCGAAAGAGCCAGAACAGACUUUCAGAAUCAAGGGAACACUAUUUUCUUGAAGCCCCUUGAAUAAAAUUGCUAUCGAGAAAGUGUUUGCCUGUGUAGUUCUACGAGAACAGAUGCAAUGAAAGAUAUCAUCUACAAUGCAAAAAGAUGAACCAAUACCAGUGGCGAGUAUGACCUGAAUUCGACAAUGUGAUUUGGCUGUGCGAUAUUUGUUUAUCUUCGUUCCGUUUAUCGUCGUCGCCACCGGCAGGAAACGAAUCUGUUGAACUGCUACGAAAUGAGCAAAAGGAAGGGAAUACACUCAAACUGAUCGUGAGUACGCUUCAAUCAGAGAUGUCGACGAUAAAGCAGAGUAUUGCAGAGCUGCAACAAACGGUGAACAGUGAUUGUCAACCGACUCACACUGUGGUAGCAGAACCGUGCAUUUCAACGCCCCGAAUGAAUCCCAACCGCAAUGUUUUAUCAUCUAAUUUGAAUGAUUCGGAUCAGUUGUUGAGAGGCUCGAAUUCAGACAGUGUUUCCGUUGGCACUCGCAAGUGCUGGAUAUUCUUCACAAGAGUAGCCAAACAUGUAUGGGGCUGUCCACAAACCACGUAGACCGAAAUUUCACCUUUUCAAACCCCCCCGUCACCCCUAGUAGACUUCCGUAGACUUUUCCGAAACCCCUCCCCUCCCCCUUGAUGUCUAUACGUAGACUUUUCCAAAUUUUACAAAACAUCAUAUGUGAUUGGAAAAUAUGGAAAUCAUCCACGUUUCAAGCAAUUCAGCUUCAAAUCCAUUUCCAUGUGAACAUUACAAUAAAACUCAAAUUUCGAACAUAAUUAAAUCAAACUUAAGAAAAACCAACAAAACAAAAAUCAAGUUGAAAGGAAAUCAAAUUUAACCCUCUGUCCAUAGCUCUUGAAAUAAAAUUUCAAAGCCCAGUAUUUUAAUUUCUGUUGCAUUCGAUUCCUCCUAUAGGUGUGUGCCACCAACGCCGACACUUUUGCAUCGGCGCGCCACUGCUUAAAAUCUGUCACGCAUCUGUCCUAUAUUUCUGAACGCCGGUUCAAAUUUGUGAAAACCGAAGAAUUUUCAGAAUUUCAAGAAAUUUCGAGUUGAAAUUCCGAGAAUGUCAAGUCUACAUUCCAAUAAGUUUCGCGUGGAAAUUUCGUAAAAAAAUCCCAAUUGAUAACCUUGAAAGCUUCCAGGUAAUACUCCACAUCACUCUCCGUGAUAAUUCCGAUGCUUUUCUUGAAAAUUUCAUGCAAUAUCCCGCUGAAUAAUCAUCUGUUGAAAUCCCAAGAAUAUUCUUCUAAAUUCCAAAAGUUUCCCCGUUAAAAAAAGAAUCCGAGUAUUUCUCCGUUAAAAUGUUGAAUUAUUUCCCGAGGUAAUUUUAAGUUUAAACGGACAUUCCGAUGUAUUUCCUGUGGAAAUUUAGAAUGGCUUCCUACUAUAUUUUUUAAAUUUAUCUCGCAAAUUUUUUCAUGCAAACAAUUUUCUGAAUAAUAUUCGGUGGAAAUUAUGGAGAAUUUUCAGUUAAUUUUUUUGCAAAUUAAAAAAAAGGCUUUUUUUACAAAAAAAAAAACUGCAAACAAUUUUUUGUUGUGAAAACUCAAACAGUUUUUGGUGGGGAAUUCAAAUAAUUUCUCGUGGAAGUUUUCAACAAUUUAUUAAGAAAUUCCGGAGAUUUUCCAUCGAUAAUUCCAAAGAACUUGCAUUAGAACUGCCGAAGAAAUUUACGAAGUAUUAUCCACGGGAAUUUCGAAGAAUUUUGCUUAUAUGUCCAAAGAAUUCCUAGAAUGGAUUAGAAUGGAUAUUCUAAAGGCUUUCUCACGGAAAUUUCGGAGAAUUCCCUUUACAAGUUCCAAAGAAUAUCUUUUGGGCAUUCCAAAGACUUUUUCUUUGAUAUUCCAAAAUGCUUCCUUUGUAAAUUCCAAAAACAAUCCGUUGAAGUACGGCAUAAUUUAAUUUCCAUAGUUUCCAAAGAAGUUCCUGCCGAAAAAUCUAGUAGAAUCUACAAUAAAAUCCAAGUGAAGAUUUUGAAAUUUUUUCAAAAGUUUUUAUAAGAUACUUUGAAGAAUUUUCCUGCUCAACACAGAAGAAUUUCCUGGUGAAAUCCAUGACUUUAUUUUCAGUGAAAUUCAUUACAUUUUUAUGGAGAAAAAAACGGAAAAUCCUAAAAAAAAUCAAACGAAUGAACUUCGCACAAAGCUGCUGUAUAAAAAAAAGUAAAUAAAUAAAAAGUCUACGUAGACUUUUGGUAAACCCUCCCGUCCCCCUUCGUAGACUAUCGUAGACUUUUUCGAAACCCCUCCCUCCCCCCUCAAGAGUCUACGUGGUUUAUGGACAGCCCCUAUCCGGUGAUGCUAUGCGUGAAAUGGUUUCGAACGCUUUGGGAUCAAGCCACAGACCAGAAGUUUUUAAACUAAUUCCGCGAUGGAGUAACCUGGACGAUCUGCGAUACAUAUCUUUCAAAGUUGGCGUAAAUUGGAAGGAUAAAGAGAAGGCUUUGGCGAAAUCAACGUGGCCGACGGGUUUGCUAUUCAGGGAAUUCGUGAAUCAUGAAAAUAGCUUUUGGGAGCCAUAAAUCAACUAAUGAUUUGCUUUUUUGUUAAAUGUAGUUUGCAAUUGUAAUUUUUCGUGUAUUUGUUUUAUGUUAAUUUUUCUUUAUUGCUAGAAAAAAAUGUGUUAAUUACCUGAUUUAUUGUAAACUGUAAUAGAUUAAGUAAACAAUCAUUGGGGCUGCCUUAGCCUGUUGAUUGACAUUAAAUAAACAAUAAAGGAUUAUAAAGUUCGCUGCAUUGAAAGUAGAAAAAUGGGGUCUACUACGAAAGGCCGAAUCACAAAAGGCCGAAUCACGAAAGGCCGAAUUACAAAAGGCCGAAAGUAAAAAAGGCCGAAUGCACAAAAGGCCGAAACCACAAAAGGCCGAAAUCACAUAAGGCCGAAUCACAAAAGGCCGAAACCACAAAAGGCCGAAUAAAAUCGGCAGACCGCGAGCGCGCGCUCGCUCCGGUCCACUUUGUUGGUCUGCCGAUUUAAUUCAAACCUCUUUUAUUCAAAUAAUAUAAUUUAGAAUAUUCGGUGAAGUCAGUUUCUCUUAAAUUGGGAGAAAAUGAAAUACAUUUAAGAACACCGCGUUACCGUAAGUUAUACAGCUUUUAGUUAAAAGCAUAAUAAUUGGAAAUUUCGAUUUUGUUUAGCUUUUUAUGUCACAAUUAGAUUAUGAGUAGUUACUCCGUUACUUUAAAGUUUAAUGUUCAUCCUUUCAUUACUGCAAUGAAGAUUGAUCUAUUAUGGAAUAUAAUAAGGUUUCAAAUUGACUCUGUAAACACCGUCAUACAACUUCUUUCAAUUGAAAGAUUGAAAGAACUGACGUCAAAUACCUCAACUGAAUAAGAUUGAUUAGAUCGCUGCUAGUAGUUGCAAAACACGUGGACAAGUUUUUCUUAAUGGGGCAGCAUAAUAAAAGUAAACGUAAAUUUGUGAGUAUUCUAAGUUCUCUUGGUUGAAAGAUUAAAACUUUUGUAAUGAUUCGGCCUUUUGUGUUAUUCGGCCUUUUGUAUCAUUCGGCCUUUUGGGUUUUCGGCCUUUUGUGGUAUGCUAGAACAUGUUCGGCCUUCUGUGGUUCGGCCUUUUGUGAUUCGGCCUUUUGUACUGAUCCCGAAAAAUGAUUGAAUUAACAAGAAUAUUGGGGGUGUCCAAUCUGCCACAGGUGUUCAUAAUGCCCCCUGGUCCCCUACUUAUUACAUCAACAGACAUGAUACAGCCCCAAUGAUGGUUAAAAAAAAUAUAAAUAAAUACAAUAUAAAUACGUCCUGACGUCUGGUGAUUCUGUCUGCAGCGGUGAUCUCCAGGUGUACCGAUACGUAGGCCGUUUUUGUUCGUCGGCCGGUGAGCGUUGAACUUCCCAAUAGUCGGUCUAAACUCCUCCUCUUGGCCAACCUGAGCGUUCAAAUCUCCUAUGAUGAUUUUGACGUCGUGGCUUGGGCAGCUUUCAUCAGUGCUUCCGGAGUGUGGGCUAUGGACGUUGAUUAUGCUGAAGUUGGAGAACCGACCUUUGACCCUCAACCUGCACAUUCUUUCAUUGAUCGGCCACCACCCGAUCACGCGCCUUUGCAUAUCGCCCAUCACUAUGAAAGCUGCUCCCAGCUCGUUUGUGUUGCGCAGCUCUGGUAGAUGGUAUGAUUACCUCUAAACGUUCGCACAAUUGAUCCCUUCCAACAAACCUCCUGCAGCGCUACGAUGCCGAAUCCACGGUCCUUGAGCACAUCGGCGAGUAUGCGUGUGCUACCGCAUGGCCUGGCACCAAUUUCCGGUGGACCACGAGGCACAGUUUCACUUAGAGUCCCUCGCUGGCAUUCGGACAAUGAUCGGCGGCCCCUAACAUGGAGAACAGACGCUGCUGUGAGCCGAUCCUGACAUGGAGAACAGACGCUCAGCAAGAUUUGCACCUCUGGAGAGGUGCAAAGCCGGUCUCCCCUGUCAGCAUACGACCAUAGUUUCCACCGGGGUUGGUUACCCGAUCUUCCCUAAGGUUGCUCGUAUCCCAGCCAGCACCACUGGGAGCAUUUGCAUUUGCCGUGCCAAGUCUAUAGACCCAUUAAUUCGACGCACAUACGCCAGCGCUGUGAAGUACAAAAUACAAGGCGCACGUGCUCGCGCUCCAAAAGUUCUAGCUGAAGAUCAGUAACUGUUGUCCUGUAUUUUGGUAGUUUGUAAUAGUCGCUUGUCGUUAGUUGAGUGUACGGAGUUUACCGACACUUACAAGGAGAGGACAAUAUUGUUGUCUUUGGCUAUGUUUUAGUUUUACAUUCGAUGACUAGUGAUGUAGGAUGUAGAAACAACAUCGCACUAAGUCCACCAGUUAAUACGUUAAGCAAUUUAAUCCCUAGAAUGAGUGAUUCCAAAAUAAGUGAAAAAAUCCUAACUAAAUGAUUGGCUCCACCAUUGCGCAUAGUGAGCAACAUCUUCAUGGGCAACUGACAUGUAUUAAAACAAGGUCUAAAAUAACAAUUAGAACUUUUUAUGAAAUUCACUUCAGGUUUAUUUUGCCAUACAAAAUUCUUUUUAUUCACUUUUAAAUGCUAUUCCCGGAUGCAGGUUUCGUUUUUCAAAAAAUCUCAU